GUGUGCGUGUGCAUACAGGGGAAGUCAUGCGUAUGUUAAUGAAUAUGGGCUGUGUUUGUAUAGGGGAUGUAUAUACAUUGUAAUUAAGAGAUCUAAAUUUUAUUCAUUUGGCUUCACUGCAUUCUGUGCUUGAAAUAUCAUUGUUUUAUUCAUUGUCUGUUUUUAAGUACAGUUUCAAACAAACAUGCAAAAUCAACAGACACAGACACACAAGCACACACACUUUAUA